GGUUUCCCCGCUUAUGCCCUACCUGUGACCCGCACACGCGAGCAGGAAACUCCCUGGUUUCACCGUGGCCUCUGGAGCCCCCUCCUCCUCCUCCACCCACUCGGUUCCCUCGCCUCGUAGCUUAUCCAAAUGACUUGGUCCGCGUUGAGUCGGUCCUGUCGCAGGUUCCAGUGAACAGCUGAGCCGCGGAGCACCAGCCGGGUUCACACGGAUCCGGUCAACCGUGAAGGAGCACAGUUGACUUUUCUUCUUGUCUCGCUGUCUGUUUGGACUUUCGGUGUGACUGCGAAGCCUUAAAAACAGAUUAUGCGUCCUCACUGGGACGGAAGGACACCAGACCCAGCAGGGCAUUGAUAUGUUUAAACGGGUUUUACGGUCCCGUCCGCAGUUUGAAGGCAUCCAAAUGAAGUUGGAAGCAUUUCGUUUCAAACAGAGGAAUCGAGAGACCAAGGGGAGACGAGGAUUCUAGGAGGAUCUUCACUGGAAAAGGUAGGUAUGGUAAGUAUAUUUAGAACCGAACUGAACAUCCUUUAGCAUGAUUAACUGGAAUCGAUAACUCACUGGAGCUGCGGAGGGACCGGUCCUGAGAGAGAGGUGAGUAUUCAGGGUGGUUGAAGGUUGUGCGAGCUGCGCGGUGGGUUAGUGGUGUUUUCUUUCCACAGGAGAGCUGAGCGGCUUGGCAGAAUCCAGUGCUGGAGCUAUUGCAGCGGCGGAGAGAGGAGUGGCCACACCCAGGGAGACGGACGUCCAAACCGGUGAAGACGUGGAGAAGAGAACUUGAAUGUAUGAACCGAUAAGGAACUUCCUGGGUCUUCAAAGAUGCGGAAGGGGUUGCUGCGAGGAACAUAGAAUCACAGGUGAUUGAUUACCUGGCACGAAGGGAAGCCCAACUAGAGGGCGCGUGGUCAGUUUACCACUCCAUAAACGGAAUCAGCUGACGUACGUCUGGUGGCUCCACUCCUCCUAAAUACUGCUGCCUUGAUGAGGUAGUUGGCUCCAGCUGGGACCACUCAGCACCUGGGAAAGGAGAGAAACAUCUCCACCUGCUGGAUCCUGACAGAAGCUUAAACAAGGCACAACAAAAAAUAUUCUAAACCUCAAACCAACAAGGGAGCAGUAUCUUGUUAUAAAAUGAUAUAAAUCAUGUUCUAAUGGGAAACUCUUGUUAUAACGAAAUGCCGACCCUUUACUUUUACUUAGCUCUGACACAACACGCUUCUCUUGCAACCUAAAACUGUAACAAAAAAUGUACUUAGCAAAAGAAAAUUAGGAAAGUUUACUUUUAUUGUCCUUAAAUUCAACAUGUGAAGAAAAUCUAGUUAUUUUGCCAGCUGCCUCCACCUCCUGAGGAGGCUGAGGUCCUUCGGAGUACAUUCUAAUCUGCUAAAAUCCUUUUAUCACUCUGUUGUUGGCUCUGUCAUACACUCUGCUGUGGUCUGUUGGGGUGCAGGCAGCUCUGACCGAGACAGGAAGAGACUGAACAAGCUAGCUAAGUAAGCUAGCUCGGUUCUGGGCUGCUAACUAGAUUCAGUUGAGGAGACGUGUGAAAGUUGGAUGCUGGGGAAGAUGACCUAGAAACCCGUCCCACCCACUGCAUUCCACUGUGGAGACCAUGGACAGCUCCUUCAGAGGCAGACGGAGACAUGCCAGAUGUAAAACAGAACCUUACCGCAGGUCAUUCAUCCCCCCUGCAGUAAGAGUGUAGAACUCCUCAGUUUUUCUGGUACUGGCUUAUUCUGUUACACAAUAACAUCGGUGCAAUGCAUUAUCCAGUAUGUGUUCAGGGUAUCCGCGGGUCCUUAAAAAGUCUUAAAAUGUCUUAAAUUAGCUUUUCCAAAUUUAAGGCCCCAAAAAUCCUUCAAAAUGACAAAUAAUCCUUAAAUACAGUUUCCAAAGGUCUUAAAUUACCAAAGACCCAAUAAACAAGAUUCUUUUAUUUCUGUAAAAUUUUCGUGAAUUUCUAGUUAGUGUUCAGUAUUUUUUGUGAACGAUUUUGGCGUAAGCGGAACCGUACACAUUCAGCUGGUUGUGAAAGGGGGCUUUUUUUAGAUGAGCACAUUAGCUGGCUAAGCUAGCGGGAGCUUGCACCAUGGGGAAGUGGAAGUGUAAUGGUAACUGGAUGGCUAAUCCCACGUUUGCGACGUGGUUAGCACCUGUUCCAGGCAAUAGCUGGAAAUUAUAGCUUAAAUUUAAUUUUUAAAAUAGCUUAAAUUUCGUCAAAGUGGCCUUAAAAAUGUCUUAAAAAGUCUUAAAUUUGACUCCCUUAAACCUGCAGAUACCCUGUAUGUAAGUCUCUGUCCCUUAUUGUGCAUAAUUCUGGAAACCCAAGUUUCUUUUUUUAUUAGCUUUAAUAGCUUAUUGUGUUUGUGUAUUUACCUGUACCUUUUCUCUAAGUGUCGUGCUGCUGUAUCAAGUGAAUUUCCCUACGGUGUGAUUAAACAUUUCUAUUCUAU